rnacentral:rRNA from 1 species
CAUCAUGCCCCUUAUGACCUGGGCUACACACGUGCUACAAUGGCUGGUACAACGAGUCGCAAGCCGGUGACGGCAAGCUAAUCUCUUAAAGCCAGUCUCAGUUCGGAUUGUAGGCUGCAACUCGCCUACAUGAAGUCGGAAUCGCUAGUAAUCGCGGAUCAGCACGCCGCGGUGAAUACGUUCCCGGGCCUUGUACACACCGCCCGUCACACCACGAGAGUUUGUAACACCCGAAGUCGGUGAGGUAACCUUUUAGGAGCCAGCCGCCUAAGGUGGGAUAGAUGAUUGGGGUGAAGUCGUAAAGGGUAACCGUA